rnacentral:rRNA from 1 species
GUGAGGAAUAUUGGUCAAUGGACGAGAGUCUGAACCAGCCAAGUAGCGUGAAGGAUGACUGCCCUAUGGGUUGUAAACUUCUUUUAUAAGGGAAUAAAGUGAGGGACGUGUCCCUUUUUGUAUGUACCUUAUGAAUAAGGAUCGGCUAACUCCGUGCCAGCAGCCGCGGUAAUACGGAGGAUCCAAGCGUUAUCCGGAUUUAUUGGGUUUAAAGGGAGCGUAGGUUGACAUAUAAGUCAGCUGUGAAAGUUUACGGCUCAACCGUGAAAUUGCAGUUGAUACUGUAUGUCUUGAGUGUACAAGAGGUGGGCGGAAAUCGUGGUGUAGCGGUGAAAUGCUUAGAUAUCACGAAGAACUCCAAUUGCGAAGGCAGCUCACUGGGGUACAACUGACACUGAGGCUCGAAAGUGUGGGUAUCAAACAGGAUUAGAUACCCGUGUAGUCC